rnacentral:rRNA from 1 species
AGAGUUUGAUCCUGGCUCAGGAUGAACGCUGGCGGCGUGCCUAACACAUGCAAGUCGAACGGACUUACAUUGAAGCCUAGCGAUAUGUAAGUUAGUGGCGGACGGGUGAGUAACGCGUGGGUAACCUGCCUUGUACUGGGGGACAACAGUUGGAAACGACUGCUAAUACCGCAUAAGCGCACAGCUUCGCAUGAAGCAGUGUGAAAAACUCCGGUGGUACAAGAUGGACCCGCGUCUGAUUAGCUGGUUGGUGAGGUAACGGCCCACCAAGGCGACGAUCAGUAGCCGGCCUGAGAGGGUGAACGGCCACAUUGGGACUGAGACACGGCCCAAACUCCUACGGGAGGCAGCAGUGGGGAAUAUUGCACAAUGGGGGAAACCCUGAUGCAGCAACGCCGCGUGAGUGAAGAAGUAUUUCGGUAUGUAAAGCUCUAUCAGCAGGAAAGAAAAUGACGGUACCUGACUAAGAAGCACCGGCUAAAUACGUGCCAGCAGCCGCGGUAAUACGUAUGGUGCAAGCGUUAUCCGGAUUUACUGGGUGUAAAGGGUGCGUAGGUGGCAAGGCAAGUCUGAAGUGAAAAUCCGGGGCUCAACCCCGGAACUGCUUUGGAAACUGUUUAGCUGGAGUACAGGAGAGGUAAGUGGAAUUCCUAGUGUAGCGGUGAAAUGCGUAGAUAUUAGGAGGAACACCAGUGGCGAAGGCGACUUACUGGACUGCUACUGACGCUGAGGCGCGAAAGCGUGGGGAGCAAACAGGAUUAGAUACCCUGGUAGUCCACGCGGUAAACGAUGAAU